AUACGGAGGGUGCAAGCGUUAAUCGGUAUUACUGGGCGUAAAGCGUGCGUAGGUGGUUUGUUAAGUCAGAUGUGAAAGCCCCGGGCUCAACCUGGGAACUGCAUUUGAAACUGGCAUACUAGAGUAUAUGAGAGGAAAGUGGAAUUUCAGGUGUAGCGGUGAAAUGCGUAGAUAUCUGAAGGAACAUCAAUGGCGAAGGCAGCUUUCUGGACUAAUACUGACACUGAGGUACGAAAGCGUGGGUAGCAAACAGAAUUAGAAACCCUAGUAGUCC
rnacentral:rRNA from 1 species